rnacentral:lncRNA from 1 species
UGUGCCUUGCCCAUGGCCACAGCUGUUGACAGGGCGCGCUUUCUGCAGCCCAGUCCCUGUGAGGAGCCCUCAUGGGGCGCUUUUAUCUGAAGAGUUCCUUUGCCCCUUUAGACCUCCCUGGCUUAGAGCUGACGUUCUCCCUGUCAUAUCACUUACGCUCUGAUCAGAGGUGUUUAUCACCCUCUUCUUCUGAGUGAUAUUGUUGCUGUGUAAUUUACUUACUUGGCUGACUUCAGCUUGGAGGCUUGCACUUUGUUGACGGAGAUUGUUUCUAGGGAUUAUCUAAACCUCUUCUCCAUUACCAUUUUUGAAGUGAACAUUAUACAGCUUCGAUGCUGAAGUACAGCUCCCUCCAGCCUUCUCUCUCUUUCUGCAGCCAUCACACACAAGCAUGCCGAAGCCCUGUGUUGGAAUGGAUGGCUCCUGCCUGGGGGCCAUCAUUAUUCCCUCGCCACUUGCCUCAGCAAACCUUGGGGACACUGAAGGCUCCAUGAUUCCCAAGCUAUGGAGAAUGAAUUGUGUGAUCUCCCAUCUCUACACCGAUGAGAAGAAGGGGCUUAUCUCAGUUCUCAACAAGAAGGUAGAGCAGAUCAAUUGAGUGAAGAGAUGUAAAUUACUGGGCA